UCCUUCCUCCCCCGCGGGCGCGCCGCCUCCUUCCUCCCCUGCCCGCUCGCCGCCGCCCACGGCCGGCCCCAACCAAGCGCUGCCGCCCGCCGCGCCCGCCGCCCCCAACCACCGGCCGCCAUGCAACUCUCUCCUCCGGCCGCCGUGCGCGUCCCAACCCCGGCCGUCGCGCGCCUCCUACCCCGGCCGUCGCGCGCCUCCGACCCCACCCGUCGCUCGCCUCCGACCCCUGGCCGCCGCGCGCCUCCCUCCACCCGGCUCCCUGUGCAGCUAUGGAGUCCGUCCUGGCUGAUCUGCUCUAGCCGUUCAACUUUGGGUCUUCCGGCCGCUCGGCCAGCGGAGCUCGACGAAGAGCAGCCCGGUCUCACUUGUGUGUGUGGAGUUCUGAGCAUCUUCUACCGCUGUGUUCUGCUCUCUUCUAUUUUCAACUGAAUGCGCUGCCAUGUGUGGAUUUACUCUCGACUCGCCGGGGUGGAGCUCCUCCGCCUCUAGCCGUCGAUCCAUAGUUCAUUGUCAGUACAGGCUCUGAAGCUGCCCAGUACAUGUUGGGGGACAUUUCUGGAAUCACGUAUCCUUCUUGCAGCUGUAAUUUUGAUUGCAUAGCAGUAUAGUUUAGUUGUCUCUGAAGUUUUGAUUCACAGCAGUACAAUUUAGUCCCAGCUGCCAUGAUUCUGCAAACCAUUGUGCUACCAAAAAGAUGGUGCUUUGUUGCAACAAAUUGUGGGGAAAAUGCAGUGAAAUAGGGCCAGUACAAGCAGAUGGUGCUUUGUUCUGUAGGCUGCCACUGUUCUGCCUGUCCGGUAAUAGCGACGGCGAGACGAACACCGCGCGCGCACCUGUGUGACAUGAAGCAGAGGCAUCACUAUGGCCGCGUACAGAGUGUUGGGACUGCAACAAUUCCCAAGGUCUAAAGCGUAGAGGAUGUGCUUGUGAGCUGUGAUGUUCUGAACUUGUGAUAUAUCUGCGGCGGUGAGAGGCAGACCCGCUCAUGUUACUCCAUCUCCCAAGCUAAGUUUUCUGCUGUUUUUGAUGUUAUUCCUAAAAGAAAAUCAUUUAUACAUGGCCAAUGUGAAUGUGCAGUCUGGUGUAGUGCAAAAGAAUAGUCACGUCUGUGGUUAAUUAGCUGAGCAUGCAGGGCCUGUUUGAGCUUUAGGUGGAGAACUAGUUGGAUACUAGCGUUUUUGGAAAAUCAAGUUGUUCUUUCUUUACAUGAUUUACAAACUCACAUUGCAUUCUCCUGUUGCUUUACUCUUCCAUCUCAUAUUGCUUCAUUCUAUAUGAUUUGAGUUAUCUAAAAGAGUUUUUGUUCCUGCUAUCUACAGAGAUACAUUCUUUUAACUGAAAAAUGAUGUAUCUGGCGGCCACCACUCCUUGGAACUUUUCUUCCAUCUGCUUGUACGCAGACCAUGGUGCUUCACUUUGUUCUUAUCUUUUUUUAUUUUGUGCAGCCAGUCAGUGCUUCUUCUUGAUCUCCUGACCACCAGCGCCGCUUCUUCCGGGCCUUCUGCUCAUGGCGCUCGAGCUGUCUGUACAUUUUUUCCUCAGUUCUAAAUUCCCAGAGCGCCAGUCCAACUACAUAUCAGCAUCCUCCCAAUCCGCUCGAUCUCGUCCUGCUCUGGAGCAUGCUUCAGUUCAACAAAAAGCUCUGGAAAAGUUCAGAGUACUUUGUAUUUAUGGGCUAAAGCCGUGGAUUGCGCCCAGCACGUCGUUCCGCAGUGAGCCAGGAUAGAGGUUGUUGGACACUGUCGUGCACACCUGCGUGUAUGGAAGGCCGAGAAGUUCCAUUGCCGGUAUACGCCAAGUUCAGAGGCGUUUCCGCCAACGGCGCCGAAGCAGCGGUCAAAAUUAAACUCGGUUCAUGUUUUGCAGUGCGGCUAUUGUUGCGAAUGAACUUGGCUGGUUGUAGCUGCUUGUACUAAACAUGUGUGCCUGUGUUAUCUUUGGUAAUCAAUGAUGCAGACUAAACAUGUGCUUGUGUUAUCUUUGGUACUCAAUGGUUGUAGUUGCUUGUACUAAACCAAGCUGGCUAAGGAUGAAGUACACGAUGCAGGCAAUGAGGACAACCAAAACAUGCAAUUCGUACACAUAGCAGCAGCUGCAAGUUCUUCUGUCUAUGAUGAUAUGAUUGGUACUUCUUAAAAGAAAGUGUACAUGAUAGUUUGAUGUUUCUCAGGAAAGGCAAAAAUGGUUUGAAUUAAAAACAUUGAU